GAGGGUUUAACUCAGUGGUAGAGUGUGUGCUUAGCAUGCACGAAGUCCUGGGUUCAACCUCCAGUACCUCCA
rnacentral:tRNA from 1 species